GGCGGCAGGCCUAAUACAUGCAAGUCGAGGGGUGUAUUACUUCCGGGCAGAUAGAGAGCGGAGUACGAGUGCGUAACACCUCUGCAACCUGUGCACUACUGGGGGAUAACCCGGGGAAACUCGGGCUAAUACCGCAUAACACAGUGAUAUCGUAUGGUUUGAUUGUUAGAGAUUUAUCGGUAGCGGAUGCGCAUAGGUCGGAUUAGCUAGUAGGUGGCGUAACGGCUCACCUAGGCGACGAUCCCUAGGGGGUCUGAGAGGAUGACCCCCCACACUGGAACUGAGACACGGUCCAGGACUCCUACGGGAGGCAGCAGUAGGGAAUAUUGCACUUAAUUUUCGGGCGCAAGCCUGAUGCAGCCAUGCCGCGU
rnacentral:rRNA from 1 species